rnacentral:rRNA from 1 species
CCUACGGGUGGCAGCAGUGAGGAAUAUUGGUCAAUGGACGAAAGGCUGAACCAGCCAAGUAGCGUGAAGGAAGACUGCCCUAUGGGUUGUAAACUUCUUUUAUGUGGGAAUAAAAGCGUCCACGUGUGGGUUUUUGCAGGUACCGUAUGAAUAAGGAUCGGCUAACUCCGUGCCAGCAGCCGCGGUAAGACGGAGGAUCCGAGCGUUAUCCGGAUUUAUUGGGUUUAAAGGGAGCGUAGGCGGGUUGUUAAGGGAGUUGUGAAAUUUUGUGGCUCAACCGUAAAAUUGCAGCGGAAACUGGCAGCCUUGAGUGCAGUAGAGGCGGGCGGAAUUCGUUGUGUAGCGGUGAAAUGCUUAGAUAUCACGAAGAACCCCGAUUGCGAAGGCAGUUCUCUGGACUGCAACUGACGCUGAGGCUCGAAAGCGUGGGUAUCGAACAGGAUUAGAUACCCUUGUAGUC